AGAGUUUGAUCCUGGCUCAGAGCGAACGCUGGCGGCAGCCUAACACAUGCAAGUCGAGCGGGCACCGCAAGGUGUCAGCGGCAGACGGGAGAGUAACACGUGGGAACGUGCCCUUCAGUUCGGAACAACCCAGGGAAACUUGGGCUGAUACCGGAUACGUCCGUAAGGGGAAAGAUUUAUCGCCGAAAGAUCGGCCCGCG
rnacentral:rRNA from 1 species